rnacentral:rRNA from 1 species
GACGAACGCUGGCGGCGUGCUUAACACAUGCAAGUCGAACGGAAAGGCCCUGCUUGUGUGGGGUGCUCGAGUGGCGAACGGGUGAGUAACACGUGAGUAACCUGGCCUUGAGGUUGGGAUAACUGCAGGAAACUGGGGCUAAUACCGGAUAGGAGCUCCUGCUGCAUGGUGGGGGUUGGAAAGUUUCGGCGGUUGGGGAUGGACUCGCGGCUUAUCAGCUAGUGGGUGGGGUAGUGGCUUACCAAGGCUUUGACGGGUAGCCGGCCUGGGAGGGUGACCGGCCACAAUGGGACUGAGAUACGGCCCAGACUCCUACGGGAGGCAGCAGUGGGGAAUAUUGCACAAUGGGCGGAAGCCUGAUGCAGCAACGCCGCGUGCGGGAUGACGGCCUUCGGGUUGUAAACCGCUUUCGCCUGUGACGAAGCGUGAGUGAUGGUAAUGGGUAAAGAAGCACCGGCUAACUACGUG